GCAUCCUGAGUGUGACGAGGUAUCUCGCAUCCAAAGUAAAGACGAGGUAUCUCGCAUCCUGAGUAAGUCCAGGUAUCUCGCAUCCUGAGUGUGACGAGGUACCUCGCAUCCUGAGUAAGAAGAGGUAUCUCGCAUCCUGAGUGCGACGAGGUAUCUCGCAUUCAAAGUAAAGACGUACGAGGUAUCUCCCAUCCGAAGUAAGACGAGGUAUCUCGCAUCCUGAGUGUGACGAGGUAUCUCGCAUCCAUAGUAAGAUGAGGUAUCUCGCAUCCGAAAAAGAAGGGUACGUCGUAAAAUACAUAGUGAAAAGAAAAAAAAAAAAGAGAAAAA